rnacentral:lncRNA from 1 species
GAGGCCCAGGCGGGCGGAUCACUUGAGGUCAGGGGUUCGAGACCAGCCUGGCCAACAUGGUGAAACUUCGUCUCUACUAAAAAUACAAAAAUUAGCCGUGGUGGCGCGCUCCUGUAAUCACAGCUACACCGGAGCCUGAGACAGGUGAAUCGCUUGAGCCCGGGAGGCGGAGGAUGCAGUGAGCCGAGAUCACACCCACUGCACUCCAGCCUGGGAACAGAGCGA